UACGGAGGGUGCAAGCGUUAUCCGGAUUCACUGGGUUUAAAGGGUGUGUAGGCGGGUAUUUAAGUCAGUGGUGAAAUCUCCAGGCUCAACCUGGAAACUGCCAUUGAUACUAUUUAUCUUGAAUAUCGUUGAGGUAGGCGGAAUAUGUCAUGUAGCGGUGAAAUACUUAGAGAUGACAUAGAACACCAAUUGCGAAGGCAGCUUACUAAACGAAGAUUGACGCUGAGGCACGAAAGCGUGGGGAUCAAACAGG
rnacentral:rRNA from 1 species